AGAAUAAAGCAAGAAUAAGAAGAGGAGAUCCAGCAUUUAUUGCUAAGGAAAUAUUGAAAAGUAGUUUGAGCUGUAAAAGGAGUGAGGAAGAGUUUUGCAUGGUUCAUCCAGUUUAAAUUGUUAGACACUUAGACUAAAUUGUAGAAGCAGUAAAACAUUCAUAAGAUUUCUCUUAGGGGGGCAUUUAAGUUAAUAGAACGUGAGAUUACCCUAAAAGAAUACCUUCUAAAAGAUAAUAUGAGAUUGCGAGAAUGUAAGAUUACCUUAUAUGCUUACCUAAAUUUGUAACUUGUGGAAUUGUAAUAUUAACCUCUUUGGUUAAGGAUUACAUUGCAUAAAUAAAUAUACACACCAAUAAAUAAUCAUAUAUGUGUGUGUGAGAAAGAGAGAGAGAGAGAGAGAGAGAUUAUUUAGUUAUUUAUUUAUACAUACACAUGUGCGUGUGUAUAUAUAUAUGCAUGUUUAUUAAAGGUCAAAGAUGGAAAACCAUACUACAUAACCAAGGUAAUCUUAAAAUACCUAAGGUGUUGAAGGUCAUAAUUUUACCUUGAUAUAACCUCAAACUCUGAUGUGGCAGCAUUCUCACAUAACCUAUAUUAUCUCAUAACUUAAACUAAACAAGGUUAUAUAAGAUAACUUUGCUCACAGCCUCACAUUACCUUUGUUAUCUUAUAUGACUUGAACAAAAGGCCACCUUAAGGAUUAAGGAAUACAGGCUUAUUCAUAUCUUUACCUCUAGUUCUGUAUAUACUCUACGCAUUUAUGUAUAGUAUUUUUAAGUAUUGCACCAUCUAGCUUAUUACUACUACUACAAAAUUUGUUUUUGGGCUCCCCAUUACGCAUCCUCUAGAUUGUUGCUUCUUGUUUUUGGGACGAAAUGUUCUUAAAUAAGUACUUUUGCUUCACACAAGUUUUUAACAUUUUUACCCAACUUGAGAGCUAUCUUUUCUGGGAGAAAUGUUUGUUAUAUCUCAUUCUUCCAAUAUUUCAUCUGAUAGCUUACCUGUUAUUAAUCAUCAGAUUGUUUUUCUCUUUCUGUCUUUAUCUGAACUCCCUCAAAGAAGAGGAGUAUUCCUUCAUUUGGGAAUACAGAAGAUUCCAGUUUGGAGAUGAUUUGGGUUUUGAAAAUACAAAAGGAUGUAUACUAUGGAAAUGAAUCAAAGUCCUCCAUAAAAGCCUCCAAGGGUUUUGCUGUUCAAGUCAAAUAAGGCAUAUUGUACCAGUGGGGGGGAAGUCUAGAAAAGGCUACUGCAUGCAGAUAAGAUGGAAAGAUUUGAAAUGCAUGCUUAAUUAUUUUUCAUAGGAAUAGUGCUC